AGUGUUAGGAGCAGCAGUCUUAACGUACUGCGUCGGCUUUCCGCAAAUUCCUUCUUACAGCGUCCACGAAGUGAACGCUGAGGUCUUCGACGAUGUGGACAACGUAGAGACAACGAACUCCGGUUCCAAAUAUGUGCAGUCUAAAGUGGUACUGGCCGCUGCCAACCCCCUGAAGACUUCCAAGGACAAAGCUAAGCUUAAGGCCAGCUUGCUCAAAUCAAACUCCGGCGACACGGAGGGAGACGAAGCUGAAAUUCAAUACGUCAAAGUCCAAGAGAAGAUCGAGGAGGACGGCCUUUCGUCCACCGACGUCGCCGGCAGCAUCGCCUUCGAGGUCCUGGACGAGGUGGGAGAUCACUUGGGGUCCAGAGGCGCCGCCCUCAAGAAGAUGGAGUUCCUGCUGAG